GCGCCUGUAGCUCAAUUGGAUAGAGCGUUGGAUUCCGGUUCCAAAGGUUGGGGGUUCGAGCCCCUCCAGGCGCA
rnacentral:tRNA from 1 species